CACAUGAAAUUUAAAAUUCUAUUUGAGUUUCGAGUGUUAGUUUGGAUAAACCAAAUUACAUCCACCCAUAAUUUCAUGUAGACAAUUUCUAUAGGGCGUAGGCCUCCCAAAAGGUAACAGAGACUUGUAAAGGUUUCAUUGGGUGGACGGAAAUUGACCCUCGAGUGCAAAGACAAGGGAAUUUGAUUGCAAGUCUACCUUAUUGAUCUGAUUGUGUCGAGUGGAAGGACGGUUGCUCAACGGAUAAAAAUUACUCUAUGAAUAAUAAGUUGAUCUUCUCUAAGAGCUCACAUCGUUGGGCAAAUUAUGCUGUGCAUCCGUAUGCACCAUGCAUGGU
rnacentral:ncRNA from 1 species